UCUUGGCUAAGGUGUCUUGGCUAAUGUGUCUUGGCUAAGGUGUCUUGGCUUAUGUGUCUUGGCUAAGGUGUCUUGGCUAAGGUGUGUUGGCUAAUGUGUCUCGGCUAAUGUGUCUCGGCUAAUGUGUCUUGGCUAAUGUAUCUUGGCUAAGGUGUUUUGGCUAAGGUGUCUUGGCUAAUGUGUCUUGGCUAAGGUGUCUUGGCUAAGGUGUCUUGGCUAAGGUGUCUUGGUUAAUGUGUCUCGGCUAAAGUGUCUUGGCUAAGGUGUCUUGGCUAAGGUGUCUUGGCUAAGGUGUCUUGGCUAAGGUGUCUUGGCUAAGGUGUCUUGGCUAAUGUGUCUUGGCUAAUGUGUCUUGGCUAAUGUGUCUCGGCUAAUGUGUCUUGGCUAAGGUGUCUUGGCUAAGGUGUCUUGGCUAAUGUGUCUUGGCUAAUGUGUCUUGGCUAAGAUGUCUUGGCUAAUGUGUCUUGGCUAAUGUGUCUUGGCUAAUGUGUCUUGGCUAAGGUGUCGUGGCUAAUGUGUCUUGGCUAAUGUGUCUUGGCUAAGGUGUCUUGGCUAAUGUGUCUUGGCUAAGGUGUCUUGGCUAAGGUGUCUUGGCUAAGGUGUCGUGGCUAAUGUGUCUUGGCUAAGGUGUCGUGGCUAAUGUGUCUUGGCUAAGGUGUCUUGGCUAAUGUGUCUUGGCUAAGGUGUCUUGGCUAAGGUGUCUUGGCUAAGGUGUCUUGGCUAAUGUGUCUCGGCUAAUGUGUCUUGGCUAAUGUGUCUUGGCUUAUGUGUCUUGGCUAAUGUGUCUUGGCUAAUGUGUCUUGGCUAAGGUGUCUCGGCUAAUGUGUCUUGGCUUAUGUGUCUUGGCUUAUGUGGCUUGGCUAAUGUGUCUUGGCUAAUGUGUCUUGGCUAAUGUGUCUUGGCUAAUGUGUCUCGGCUAAUGUGUCUUGGCUAAUGUGUCUUGGCUAAGGUGUCUUGGCUAAUGUGUCGUGGCUAAUGUGUCUUGGCUAAGGUGUCUUGGCUAAGGUGUCUUGGCUAAGGUGUCUUGGCUAAGGUGUCUUGGCUAAGGUGUCUUGGCUAAUGUGUCUUGGCUAAGGUGUCUUGGCUAAUGUGUCUUGGCUAAUGUGUCUUGGCUAAGGUGUCUUGGCUAAUGUGUCUUGGCUAAGGUGUCUUGUCUAAGGUGUCUUGGCUAAUGUGUCUCGGCUAAUGUGUCUUGGCUAAUGUGUCUUGGCUAAUGUGUCUUGGCUAAUGUGUCUCGGCUAAAGUGUCUUGGCUAAUGUGUCUUGGCUAAUGUGUCUUGGCUAAGGUGUCUUGGCUAAGGUGUCUUGGCUAAGGUGUCUUGGCUAAGGUGUCUUGGCUAAGGUGUCUUGGCUAAGGUGUCUCGGCUAAGGUGUCUUGGCUAAGGUGUCUUGGCUAAGGUGUCUUGGCUAAGGUGUCUUGGCUAAGGUGUCUUGGCUUAUGUGUCUUGGCUAAGGUGUCUUGGCUAAGGUGUCUUGGCUAAUGUGUCUUGGCUAAUGUGUCUCGGCUAAUGUGUCUUGGCUAAGGUGUCUUGGCUAAGGUGUCUUGGCUAAGGUGUCUUGGCUAAGGUGUCUUGGCUAAUGUGUCUCGGCUAAUGUGUCUCAGCUA